rnacentral:lncRNA from 1 species
AUGAUUUCAUAAAAGAAAUGGAAAGCAAUGUGCAAGAAAUGACAUGUGAAAACAAACCCUAGGCAAAUAUCAAAUCCAUCCGAGCACAAAUUCUGGAAAAAUAUCCAAAAAAUAGUAGACACUCCAAGGAUCAUGGCACAACAAAUAUCAUGUGAAUUGGAUUAUUAUUUUGAGUGUUAUGAAUUUCUUAAUGGAAAGAAAAAUUAAAAAAAAAUGUGAAAGGAAGCA